AUUUAGCCCAGAUUGAAGCGGCAUCCCUCGCUUUUUCGGCAAGGAUAGAGCAUCCCGAAGAAUCG
rnacentral:misc_RNA from 1 species